GUCCUACGGGAAGCAGCAAUGUGGAAUCUUACGCAAUGGGCGAAAGCCUGACACAGCCACGCCGCGUGAAUGAUGAAGCUCUU
rnacentral:rRNA from 1 species